rnacentral:rRNA from 1 species
GACGAACGCUGGCGGCGUGCUUAACACAUGCAAGUCGAACGAAAAGAGGGAAAGAGCCUGCUCUUUCCGGAAUUGAGUGGCAAACGGGUGAGUAACACGUAAACAACCUGCCUUCAGGAUGGGGACAACAGACGGAAACGACUGCUAAUACCGAAUAAGUUCCAAGAGCCGCAUGGCCCAUGGAAGAAAAGGUGGCCUCUACCUGUAAGCUAUCGCCUGAAGAGGGGUUUGCGUCUGAUUAGCUGGUUGGAGGGGUAACGGCCCACCAAGGCGACGAUCAGUAGCCGGUCUGAGAGGAUGAACGGCCACACUGGAACUGAGACACGGUCCAGACUCCUACGGGAGGCAGCAGUGGGGAAUCUUCCGCAAUGGGCGAAAGCCUGACGGAGCAACGCCGCGUGAGUGAUGACGGCCUUCGGGUUGUAAAACUCUGUGAUCCGGGACGAAAAGGCAGAGCGCGAAGAACAAACUGCAUUGACGGUACCGGAAAAGCAAGCCACGGCUAACUACGUG